ACCUGGCCGAUCUCAAACUCCUGGCCUCAAGCGAUCCUCCCAUCUCAGCCUCCCAAUGUGCUAGGAUUGCAGGUGUGAGUCAUCGCACCUGGCCUCUUAAUGUAGAUGAUUUUUUAAAAUGAAGAUUUUUUUCAUAGUAAGAAAAGGGAAACCAUAAUUCCAGACCACAGAGAAGGACUUCUUUAAUAUAUUUAACCUCUUUAUUUACAGAUCACUUCUUUCUAGAGAGACUAAAAUUAGGGCAGAGAAACCUAAAUCCUACAUACAAAGAGCUGCUGCCCAUUCAAAAUAAUAAUAAUAAUUAUAAGUGACAGUAAAGCAUCUCCCCACAUAAUCCUGUAUAUCAGUAAGAAAAUAUGUUUUGAGAUUCACAAAACUCAAUUUACGAAUCUCUGGUUGUAGUUAUUUGACUUAAUAUAUAAGACACUUACCAGAGGAGAUGGUUGCAAACAGAUUUGAUGACAGGUAAAUUUUUCUAAAGGUCUGCUAACUUCUUAUUCAGUCAUGGCCAACCACUGAUACAAUGCUGAGAGUUGCUUUCUCCUUUCCCCUCUACUAGCUUGGGGUCCACAGACCAAAAAAAUCUAUAACUUGCAAGGCUAAUAAAUGCAUGCUUCAGCUGCCUGGAAAUGCUGUUGGACUGGCAAUUUGCUGCCCCGCUCUAAUAGAGACUGCCUCAGAUCUGGUCUUUAACCUGGAUUAGCUGGAUAAAGAGAAUCCUCUGGGAUCCUGUGUGCCAUCACCUGUUAGUGUGUUUGCUGUAUAAAUGUAACAUCCACUAACUUUGUCAGAUGAUGUCUGGCCUGGCUGCUGUGGCUGUGAUUGGAAUUGAAACAUACAGCUUGUUAUUAAGGUAGUGACUGGCUGUGGGGGACACCGACGUCUGUUGUUUUUCAUUGUUGAUCUAGUGAGUUAGAAUGCCUUUCCUGGGCUGUUAAUGUUAAAUAGUUCAGUCCUGUUAGUCGUUUUGUGAGAUCAUCUUUCUGUGUGAUUUGUGUGUAUUUCCUUGAUCUAGUGGGGUGCAGGGUCAGGGACUGAGGGGAAGGUAUAAUUGUUUACAGAAAAUGUGACAGGACAUGGAUUUGAAAUCAGAUAGGAAGUUAAGGAAUGCCGG
rnacentral:lncRNA from 1 species